CCUACGGGGGGCUGCAGUCGAGAAUCUUCGGCAAUGGGCGAAAGCCUGACCGAGCGACGCCGCGUGGUGGAAGAAGGCCUUCGGGUUGUAAACACCUGUUGGGGGGGAACAAUUUUGAGUGAACCCCUGAGGAAGCACGGGCUAAGUUCGUGCCAGCAGCCGCGGUAAGACGAACCGUGCGAACGUUACUCGGAAUCACUGGGCUUAAAGAGCACGUAGGCGGCGACAUAAGUCGAACGUGAAAUCCCAUCGGCUCAACCGUGGAACUGCAUUCGAUACUGUGUCGCUCGAGGGAGAACGGGGCAUUCGGAACUUCCGGUGGAGCGGUGAAAUGUGUUGAUAUCGGAAGGAACGCCGGUGGCGAAAGCGGGAUGCUGGGUCUCUUCUGACGCUGAGGUGCGAAAGCUAGGGUAGCGAACGGGAUUAGAUACCCGAGUAGUC
rnacentral:rRNA from 1 species